rnacentral:piRNA from 1 species
UACCAGGCAUAGUAGAGCUAUAGU